GCCUAGGUGACUCAGGCGGUACAGCAUGAGACUUUUAAUCUCAGGGUCAUGGGUUCGAGUCCCACCUUGGUCA